CUCAAUAACAAGUAAAGUUUAACCCCUUACUAGCAGGGGAAAAGCGACCGCUUAAGCUGUUUUAUUAUUAUUUUGUAAUGGAGUAGGGUUAGAAGUAUGGUUAGAGGUAGGGUAGGGUUGAGUUAGGAGUAGGGUUAAGUUUAGGGUUAUGGUAGGGUUAGGAGUACGGUUAGGGUUACCCUACCCUAACCCUACUCCAACCACUAACCUAACCCCUAACCCUACCCCAACACUCUCCUGUUUUGCCACUUUUAAAAAAUCCAAAGCACUUCGGUUCAGCAUUCCAAAAUUCUGCACUUCUGACAUUCGGAAGCAUCCG